rnacentral:rRNA from 1 species
AACUACUGGAAACGGUGGCUAAUACCGCAUAACGUCGCAAGACCAAAGAGGGGGACCUUCGGGCCUCUUGCCAUCAGAUGUGCCCAGAUGGGAUUAGCUUGUUGGUGAGGUAACGGCUCACCAAGGCGACGAUCCCUAGCUGGUCUGAGAGGAUGACCAGCCACACUGGAACUGAGACACGGUCCAGACUCCUACGGGAGGCAGCAGUGGGGAAUAUUGCACAAUGGGCGCAAGCCUGAUGCAGCCAUGCCGCGUGUAUGAAGAAGGCCUUCGGGUUGUAAAGUACUUUCAGCGGGGAGGAAGGUGUUGUGGUUAAUAACCGCAGCAAUUGACGUUACCCGCAGAAGAAGCACCGGCUAACUCCGUGCCAGCAGCCGCGGUAAUACGGAGGGUGCAAGCGUUAAUCGGAAUUACUGGGCGUAAAGCGCACGCAGGCGGUCUGUCAAGUCGGAUGUGAAAUCCCCGGGCUCAACCUGGGAACUGCAUUCGAAACUGGCAGGCUUGAGUCUUGUAGAGGGGGGUAGAAUUCCAGGUGUAGCGGUGAAAUGCGUAGAGAUCUGGAGGAAUACCGGUGGCGAAGGCGGCCCCCUGGACAAAGACUGACGCUCAGGUGCGAAAGCGUGGGGAGCAAACAGGAUUAGAUACCCUGGUAGUCCACGCCGUAAACGAUGUCUACUUGGAGGUUGUGCCCUUGAGGCGUGGCUUCCGGAGCUAACGCGUUAAGUAGACCGCCUGGGGAGUACGGCCGCAAGGUUAAAACUCAAAUGAAUUGACGGGGGCCCGCACAAGCGGUGGAGCAUGUGGUUUAAUUCGAUGCAACGCGAAGAACCUUACCUGGUCUUGACAUCCACAGAACUUUCCAGAGAUGGAUUGGUGCCUUCGGGAACUGUGAGACAGGUGCUGCAUGGCUGUCGUCAGCUCGUGUUGUGAAAUGUUGGGUUAAGUCCCGCAACGAGCGCAACCCUUAUCCUUUGUUGCCAGCGGUCCGGCCGGGAACUCAAAGGAGACUGCCAGUGAUAAACUGGAGGAAGGUGGGGAUGACGUCAAGUCAUCAUGGCCCUUACGACCAGGGCUACACACGUGCUACAAUGGCGCAUACAAAGAGAAGCGACCUCGCGAGAGCAAGCGGACCUCAUAAAGUGCGUCGUAGUCCGGAUUGGAGUCUGCAACUCGACUCCAUGAAGUCGGAAUCGCUAGUAAUCGUGGAUCAGAAUGCCACGGUGAAUACGUUCCCGGGCCUUGUACACACCGCCCGUCACACCAUGGGAGUGGGUUGCAAAAGAAGUAGGUAGCUUAACCUUCGGGAGGGCGCUUACCACUUUGUGAUUCAUGACUGGGGUGAAGUCGUAACAAGGUAACCGUAGGGGAACCUGC